AUGAACGCUGGCGGUAUGCCUAACACAUGCAAGUCGAACGGUGUCUUCGGACAUAGUGGCGGACGGGUGAGUAACGCGUGAGAACCUACCUACAGGACGGGGACAACAGUUGGAAACGACUGCUAAUACCCGAUGAGCCGCAAGGUAAAAGAUUUAUCGCCUGAAGCAGGGCUCGCGUCUGAUUGGCUAGUUGGUGGGGUAAAAGCCUACCAAGGCGACGAUCAGUAGCUGGUCUGAGAGGAUGAGCAGCCACACUGGGACUGAGACACGGCCCAGACUCCUACGGGAGGCAGCAGUGGGGAAUUUUCCGCAAUGGGCGCAAGCCUGACGGAGCAAUACCGCGUGAGGGAGGAAGGCCCUUGGGUUGUAAACCUCUUUUGUUCGGGAAGAAGCAAUGACGGUACCGAACGAAUAAGCAUCGGCUAACUCCGUGCCAGCAGCCGCGGUAAUACGGAGGAUGCAAGCGUUAUCCGGAAUCAUUGGGCGUAAAGCGUCCGCAGGUGGUGAUUCAAGUCUGCGGUCAAAGACGGAAGCUCAACUUCUGAAAGGCCGUGGAAACUGAAACACUAGAGUCCGGUAGGGGUAGAGGGAAUUCCCAGUGUAGCGGUGAAAUGCGUAGAGAUUGGGAAGAACAUCGGUGGCGAAAGCGCUCUACUGGGCCGAGACUGACACUCAGGGACGAAAGCUAGGGUAGCGAAAGGGAUUAGAUACCCCUGUAGUCCUAGCCGUAAACGAUGGAGACUAGGCGUAGCUUGUAUCGACCCGAGCUGUGCCGAAGCUAACGCGUUAAGUCUCCCGCCUGGGGAGUACGCACGCAAGUGUGAAACUCAAAGGAAUUGACGGGGGCCCGCACAAGCGGUGGGGUAUGUGGUUUAAUUCGAUGCAACGCGAAGAACCUUACCAGGACUUGACAUGUCGCGAACCCUCAUGAAAGUGGGGGGGUGCCUUCCGGGAGCGCGAACACAGGUUGGUGCAUGGCUGUC
rnacentral:rRNA from 1 species